rnacentral:rRNA from 1 species
GUGACAGCAGCCGCGGUAAUACGAAGGGUGCAAGCGUUAGUCGGAAUUACUGGGCGUAAAGCGUGCGUAGGCGGUUUUUUAAGUCUGCCGUGAAAGCCCCGGGCUCAACCUGGGAAUGGCGGUGGAUACUGGAAAGCUGGAGUGCGGUAGAGGAGGGUGGAAUUCCCGGUGUAGCGGUGAAAUGCGUAGAGAUCGGGAGGAACAUCAGUGGCGAAGGCGGCCCUCUGGACCAGCACUGACGCUGAGGCACGAAAGCGUGGGGAGCAAACAGGAUUAGAUACCCGCGUAGUCC